UCUUUUAGCUAUAGCUAUUUAGCUAGUUCGAACCAAGUCAGGCUAGAAAUAGAGCAGCUUUAAGGAUUACUUAUUGAGCUAUAGCCCUAAUUUACUU
rnacentral:SRP_RNA from 1 species